GUGGGGAAUAUUGCGCAAUGGGCGAAAGCCUGACGCAGCGACGCCGCGUGAGGGAUGACGGCCUUCGGGUUGUAAACCUCUUUCAGUACCGACGAAGCGAGAGUGACGGUAGGUACAGAAGAAGCGCCGGCUAACUACGUGCCAGCAGCCGCGGUAAGACGUAGGGCGCGAGCGUUGUCCGGAUUUAUUGGGCGUAAAGGGCUCGUAGGCGGCUUGUCACGUCUGUCGUGAAAGACCGGGGCUUAACUCCGGUUUUGCGGUGGAUACGGGCAGGCUUGAGGCAAGUAGGGGAGAACGGAAUUCCACGUGUAGCGGUGAAAUGCGCAGAUAUGUGGAGGAACACCGGUGGCGAAGGCGGUUCUCUGGGCUUGUUCUGACGCUGAGGAGCGAAAGCGUGGGGAGCGAACAGGAUUAGAUACCCUUGUAGUCC
rnacentral:rRNA from 1 species